UUAAAGAGUUCUAUAACUCCCAAACCCAUGUGAACAUACCUAACGUUGCCUCGGCAGGUCGCACCUACCUUGUAGCACCCUACCCUGUAGGGCCUACCCGGGAGGUGCGGGUAAGCCUGCCGGCGGCCCACCAAACUCUGUUUGAUAUUGAAUUCUGAACCUAUAACUAAAUAAGUUAAAACUUUCAACAACGGAUCUCUUGGUUCUGGCAUCGAUGAAGAACGCAGCGAAAUGCGAUAAGUAAUGUGAAUUGCAGAAUUCAGUGAAUCAUCGAAUCUUUGAACGCAUAUUGCGCCCAUUAGUAUUCUAGUGGGCAGGACCGUUCGAGCGUCAUUUCAACCCUUAAGCCUUCGUUGCUUAGUGUUGGGAGCCUACGGCAACGUAGCUCCUCAAAGUUAGUGGCGGAGUUGGUUCACACUCUAGACGUAGUAAUUUUUUAUCUCGCCUAUUAGUUGGACUAAUCCCCUGCCGUAAAACCCCCAAUUUAUCAAGGUUGACCUCGAAUCGGUUCAGACAAACUCGCUAAAUUGAAGCAUCUUAGUCAGCGAAGGAAAAGAAACCAACAGGGAUUGCCCUAGUAACGGCGAGUGAAGCGGCAACAGCUCAAAUUUGAAAUCUGGCCCUCGGGUCCGA
rnacentral:rRNA from 1 species